rnacentral:rRNA from 1 species
AAUAGAUACCCGGGUAGUCCUAGCCGUAAACGAUGAGCACUGGGUUGAAGGGUCCUCCAUAGCCUUUCAGCCGCAGCGAAAGUGUUAAGUGCUCCGCCUGGGGAGUAUGGUCGCAAGGCUGAAACUCAAAGAAAUUGACGGGGGCUCACACAAGCGGUGGAGGAUGUGGCUUAAUUCGAGGCUACGCGAAGAACCUUAUCCUAGUCUUGACAUGCACGGAUUAACUCCCUGAAAGGGGAGCCAGGCCUUCGGGUACAACGUGCACAGGUGCUGCAUGGCUGUCGUCAGCUCGUGCUGUGAAGUGUCGGGUUAAGUCCCUUAACGAGCGAAACCCUUGUCGCUAGUUGCCAGCGAGUAAUGUCGGGGACUCUAGCGAGACCGCCGGCGUUAAGCCGGAGGAAGGCGGGGAUGACGUCAAGUCCUCAUGGCCUUUAUGACUAGGGCUGCACACGUCCUACAAUGGCGCGCACAAAGGGAUGCAAAAUCGCGAGAUCAAGCAAAUCCCAAAAAACCGCGCCCCAGUUCGGAUU